rnacentral:misc_RNA from 1 species
AAGUCGUAACAAGGUCUCCGUUGGUGAACCAGCGGAGGGAUCAUUACAGAGUUAUCCAACUCCCAAACCCAUGUGAACUUAUCUCUUUGUUGCCUCGGCGCAAGCUACCCGGGACCUCGCGCCCCGGACGGCCCGCCCGAGGACCCUAAACUCUGUUUUUAGUGGAACUUCUGAGUAAAACAAACAAAUAAAUCAAAACUUUCAACAACGGAUCUCUUGGUUCUG